rnacentral:misc_RNA from 1 species
UGCUCACCUCUCUUUCU